AAAAAAAAACACAAAAUUAAAACAAUGUCGUAAUGUUAUAGUACCUACGCAUAACCUAUCCACAUUACGGGGAUACAUAAUUUUAAAUUCCUUUCAUAUGUAUUACAAUAUUAAUUGUGUUUAAUCAUGUUGAGUUAAUCAAAAUAUUUUUUAUUCUUCGAAAUUUUACUUUGACCACCUCAUUUACCUUACAAUAGAAAAGCUUGUAAUUGUUGUGUUUUAUGAAUCUUAAUAUCUUACCUACUAAUACUUUCCAGUUCUCACCAUACUGGUAUAUUAUGUAGUAUAUGUAACAAUACCAUAAUUUGUCCCCUAAGAGUAGGACGCUUGUAAAUUUCGAUAAUAAAAGCACGG